AACCAUAGAAACCUGCGGAGUACCUGCGGAAGGAUCAUUAUUGAUUUUUAACAGGAUGUGCUGGCUCUUCUGGAGCAUGUGCACUCCUAACAAAAACCAAUAUCCACCUGUGCACUUUUAGUAGGCAGGAAAAAAGACCUUUUUACCCAAGGGCUCUUUUCCUUGCCUAUGUUUUCUAUCACAGACACUUGAUCUAUUUGAAUGCUUAUACAACAAAAUAAUAUUUGUAAAACAACUUUC
rnacentral:misc_RNA from 1 species